UCUCCGUUGGUGAACCAGCGGAGGGAUCAUUACCGAGUUUACAACUCCCAAACCCCUAUGUGAACGUUACCAAACUGUUGCCUCGGCGGGAAAUUCAUGCCCCGGGCGCGUCGCAGCCCCGGACCAAGGCGCCCGCCGGAGGUCCAACCAAAACUCUUUUGUAUGUCCCUCGCGGACUUUUAUAAUUCUGAACCAUCUCGGCGCCCCUAGCGGGCGUUUCGAAAAUGAAUCAAAACUUUCAACAACGGAUCUCUUGGUUCUG
rnacentral:misc_RNA from 1 species